rnacentral:misc_RNA from 1 species
UUGUGCUUGGCUUACGGUUGUUUGCUUGGCUAUUUAGCCUUGCAGGUGGCUAUUUGCCAGGGCGGCUUCGGGGAUGUAUACCGUAAAGGUGCAUGAGUGGUGUUUGGUUUGCUACGGGUGGUUGGCUCCCUGCUUGAGCAGGCACGGCCAUGCGUACAUUCCUUUUCAGUUGUGCGGCAAGGCUUGUAUUGUCUUGAUCGUACGUGUGGGUUUCUGUGUUGCAUACCUGAUCAACGGCAUCGUUUUGAUCAAAAAAGUACCUUUUUCGUCGGGCAUUGCACCUGCAAUGUUUGAUGAACCACAUGGCAUCCUCUUUGAUCCAUAUAGUCGAUGAGCAUUUGUUGAUUGUAUGGCCCAUUGAUGGUGUCUGGUCUCUAGGAUAUGGAAGCCAAAGUGGGCAUGGGUUCGUAUGAUCCUUUUAUUGCCCUCGUUGAGCGUUCUCGCUUCUCUUACACGACUGCCUUUCACGUAUGGCACGUCC